GAAGGAGCAGGUGGAUUAGUUGUGCAGGUGGGACUGGAGGACAUAGUUAGAAGAACCAUCAUGACACACCAAUGGGUGAAGUUGUGGAUCUCUCUCCUCUACGGUUUAUCUGCUGCUUACUCUGAUUCUGUUAAAAUGAUUCCAGUGACUGGGAAGAUACCAGUGAUCACAGUUGGCGUGAGUCAAUCCCACAACAGGCAGGUCUGCAGCACGUGGGGUAACUACCACUACAAAACCUACGAUGGGGACUUCUUCCAGCUGCCCUACACCUGUAACUACGUGUUGACUUCGCUGUGCAAAAGCAGAAGUGGCUAUGAG
ensembl:lncRNA